GUCUAUUUAAUAUAAUGGUAAAUGGCUGGUAAACCGUUUGGUUUUCGACCACUAUGACCCGGGUUCGAUUCCCGCAUUGGACA